UCGAACGGGGUGCUCAUGACGGAGGAUUCGUCCAACGGAUUGAGUUACCUAGUGGCGGACGGGUGAGUAACGCGUGAGGAACCUGCCUUGGAGAGGGGAAUAACACUCCGAAAGGAGUGCUAAUACCGCAUGAUGCAGUUGGGUCGCAUGGCUCUGACUGCCAAAGAUUUAUCGCUCUGAGAUGGCCUCGCGUCUGAUUAGCUAGUAGGCGGGGUAACGGCCCACCUAGGCGACGAUCAGUAGCCGGACUGAGAGGUUGACCGGCCACAUUGGGACUGAGACACGGCCCAGACUCCUACGGGAGGCAGCAGUGGGGAAUAUUGGGCAAUGGGCGCAAGCCUGACCCAGCAACGCCGCGUGAAGGAAGAAGGCUUUCGGGUUGUAAACUUCUUUUGUCAGGGACGAAACAAAUGACGGUACCUGACGAAUAAGCCACGGCUAACUACGUGCCAGCAGCCGCGGUAAUACGUAGGUGGCAAGCGUUAUCCGGAUUUACUGGGUGUAAAGGGCGUGUAGGCGGGAUUGCAAGUCAGAUGUGAAAACUGGGGGCUCAACCUCCAGCCUGCAUUUGAAACUGUAGUUCUUGAGUGCUGGAGAGGCAAUCGGAAU
rnacentral:rRNA from 1 species